ACCAGACUCCUACGGUAGGCAGCAGUGGGGAAUAUUGGGCAAUGGGCGCAAGCCUGACCCAGCAACGCCGCGUGAAGGAAGAAGGCUUCCGGGUUGUAAACUUCUUUUGACAGGGAAGAGCAGAAGACGGUACCUGUCGAAUAAGCCACGGCUAACUACGUGCCAGCAGCCGCGGUAAUACGUAGGUGGCAAGCGUUGUUCGGAUUUACUGGGUGUAAAGGGCGUGUAGCCGGGCUGACAAGUCAGAUGUGAAAUCCGGGGGCUCAACCCCCGAACUGCAUUUGAAACUGUUGGUCUUGAGUAUCGGAGAGGCAGGCGGAAUUCCUAGUGUAGCGGUGAAAUGCGUAGAUAUUAGGAGGAACACCAGUGGCGAAGGCGGCCUGCUGGACGACAACCGACGGUGAGGCGCGAAAGCGUGGGGAGCAAACAGGAUUAGAUACCCGCGUA
rnacentral:rRNA from 1 species